rnacentral:rRNA from 1 species
AGCGGCGGACGGGUGAGUAACGCGUGGGUAACCUGCCCUAUACACACGGAUAACAUACCGAAAGGUAUGCUAAUACGAGAUGAUAUAAGAGAUUCGCAUGGAUUUCUUAUCAAAGCUGAGGCGGUAUAGGAUGGACCCGCGUCUGAUUAGCUAGUUGGUAAGGUAACGGCUUACCAAGGCGACGAUCAGUAGCCGACCUGAGAGGGUGAUCGGCCACAUUGGAACUGAGACACGGUCCAAACUCCUACGGGAGGCAGCAGUGGGGAAUAUUGCACAAUGGGCGCAAGCCUGAUGCAGCAACGCCGCGUGAGUGACGAAGGCCUUCGGGUCGUAAAACUCUGUCCUCAAGGAAGAUAAUGACGGUACUUGAGGAGGAAGCCCCGGCUAACUACGUGCCAGCAGCCGCGGUAAUACGUAGGGGGCUAGCGUUAUCCGGAUUUACUGGGCGUAAAGGGUGCGUAGGUGGUCUCUUAAGUCAGGAGUGAAAGGCUACGGCUUAACCGUAGUAAGCUCUUGAAACUGAGAGACUUGAGUGCAGGAGAGGAAAGUGGAAUUCCUAGUGUAGCGGUGAAAUGCGUAGAUAUUAGGAGGAACACCAGUAGCGAAGGCGGCUUUCUGGACUGUAACUGACACUGAGGCACGAAAGCGUGGGGAGCAAACAGGAUUAGAUACCCUGGUAGUCCACGCCGUAAACGAUGAGUACUAGGUGU